UGCCUUCUCUGGCCACACAGAACAAUCCUGCUUUCUUUGUCCUGCGGUGACCAUAAGCAAUUUGUAUACCGCACCACGGAAAGAUGCUCAGUAAACUUCAGCACCUGUGGCUUGUGGUGGAGAUGCUGCUGGUGAAACUCAUGUAAAGUGAGCCUGUAGGACGCUGCGGGCGCUGCUGCAAGCGCUCUGCGUGCAUUCAUCGAGAUAAGGACUCUUACCAACCUCACGAUACAACGAGGAAACCAAGGCAGAUGCCACAGAGGCAACUGGGAUGCACCCAGACAGGAGGCUUCGGACACGAGGGGGAGACACGGAUUAUCUUGCUUGGACUGUGGGGCUGUGGGGACGGACUGUCCUGGCCCAAGGGGUAGAGGGUAUUUAUCCUCAGAAGCAUUAAAGCAGAGGGCGGAUUCCUCCCAGGGCUUUCAGUGUGAUUUAGA